AAUCAACGCUGGCGGCGCGCUUAACACAUGCACGUCGCACGAGAAAGGGAGCAAUCCUAAGUAAAGUGGCGCACGGGUGAGUAACACGUGGAUCAUCUACCUUUUAGUGGGGAAUACCUCUGGGAAACCGGAGACAAUACCGCAUAAGCCUGUAAAGGGAAAGCAGCAAUGCGCUGAAAGAGGAGUCCGCGGCCGAUUAGCUAGUUGGCGGGGUAAUGGCCCACCAAGGCGAAGAUCGGUAGCCGGCCUGAGAGGGCACACGGCCACACUGGCACUGAAACACGGGCCAGACUCCUACGGGAGGCAGCAGUGGGGAAUCUUGCACAAUGGACGAAAGUCUGAUGCAGCGACGCCGCGUGAGCGAUGAAGCCCUUCGGGGUGUAAAGCUCUUUCGACGGGAACGAUAAUGACGGUACCCGGAGAAGAAGCUGCGGCUAACUACGUGCCAGCAGCCGCGGUAAUACGUAGGCAGCGAGCGUUGUUCGGAAUUACUGGGCGUAAAGAGUGUGUAGGCGGUGUUCCCAGUUUGUCGUGAAAUCUCCCGGCUUAACUGGGAGGGUGCGGCGAAAACUGGAAUGCUAGAGGAUGGGAGAGGUAAGCGGAAUUCCUGGUGUAGCGGUGAAAUGCGUAGAUAUCAGGAGGAACACCUGUGGUGUAGACAGCUUACUGGACCAUUUCUGACGCUGAGACACGAAAGCGUGGGUAGC
rnacentral:rRNA from 1 species